rnacentral:rRNA from 1 species
CCUACGGGAGGCAGCAGUAGGGAAUAUUGCUCAAUGGGGGAAACCCUGAAGCAGCAACGCCGCGUGGAGGAUGAAGGUUUUCGGAUUGUAAACUCCUUUUGUUAGAGAAGAUAAUGACGGUAUCUAACGAAUAAGCACCGGCUAACUCCGUGCCAGCAGCCGCGGUAAUACGGAGGGUGCAAGCGUUACUCGGAAUCACUGGGCGGAAAGAGCGCGUAGGCGGGAUAGCAAGUCAGAUGUGAAAUCCUAUGGCUUAACCAUAGAACUGCAUUUGAAACUGUUAUUCUAGAGUAUGGGAGAGGUAGGUGGAAUUCUUGGUGUAGGGGUAAAAUCCGUAGAGAUCAAGAGGAAUACUCAUUGCGAAGGCGACCUGCUAGAACAUAACUGACGCUGUUGCGCGAAAGCGUGGGGAGCAAACAGGAUUAGAUACCCUAGUAGUC